rnacentral:piRNA from 1 species
CUGCUGGCAUGCAGGAAGAAGACUGUA